rnacentral:misc_RNA from 1 species
CGCACAUUGCGCCCUCUGGUAUUCCGGAGGGCAUGCCUGUUCGAGCGUCAUUUCAACCCUCAAGCCUGGCUUGGUGAUGGGGCACUACUCCCUCGCGGGAGUAGGCCCUGAAAUUCAGUGGCGAGCUCGCCAGGACCCCGAGCGUAGUAGUUACAUCUCGCUCUGGAAGGCCCUGGCGGUGCCCUGCCGUUAAACCCCCAACUUCUGAAAAUUUGACCUCGGAUCAGGUAGGAAUACCCGCUGAACUUAA